UGGGGUGUGGUGUAGUGGGAGCACGACGGCUCUUGAUGCCGUUACCCGGGUUCGAUUCCCGGCACUCCAG
rnacentral:tRNA from 1 species